rnacentral:rRNA from 1 species
GACGAACGCUGGCGGCGUGCCUAAUACAUGCAAGUAGAACGCACAGUUUAUACCGUAGCUUGCUACACCAUAGACUGUGAGUUGCGAACGGGUGAGUAACGCGUAGGUAACCUGCCUGGUAGCGGGGGAUAACUAUUGUAACCGAUAGCUAUUACCGCAUAAUAUUGAUUAUUGCAUGAUAAUUGAUUGAAAGAUGCUAUUGCAUCCUUACCAGAUGGACCUGCGUUGUAUUAGCUAGUAGGGGAGGUAACGGCUCACCUAGGCGACGAUACAUAGCCGACCUGAGAGGGGGAUAGGCCACACUGGGACUGAGACACGGCCCAGACUCCUACGGGAGGCAGCAGUAGGGAAUCUUCGGCAAUGGACGAAAGUCUGACCGAGCAACGCCGCGUGAGUGAAGAAGGGUUUCGGAUCGUAAAGCUCUGUUGUAAGAGAAGAACGGGUGUGAGAGUGGAAAGUUCACACUGUGACGGUAUCUGACCAGAAAGGGACGGCUAACUACGUG